UCUCCCUCACUGGUAAGUCAGCUCCACGAGGGUGUGAUCUGGAUGGUCUUGGUCAUCGUUAUAAUCUCAGCGUCUAGAAGAGCAUCUGGCAGCCAGCCCUGCAAAUUGUCUACACAUCAGGCCCCACGCACGGAGCCCACCCUGCCCUACACUACAGAGCGUUCGCUUACACAGUUCUUCCUCUGCUACACUGAAACCCCAGAAGGCAGAGGCCAUGUCAUAUCCUUCUUUUCCCUGACCCUCAACACAGUCUGCACAUUAAAUAGCAAGGUCAAGCAGUACAUCUGAGGACUACUGUAAUUUCAAAGCGAUGAUGAAUGAAAACAAUUAUUUUAAGGGAUCUGCGACAAGUGUAUCGAAAUAUCUGUGUAUUCCAUUGUCCAAAUACACAAAGUUCAAGUACUGCUAA